AAGAAAAAGAGAGGCGCUCAAAAGUGGAUCGGAAGCAUACCGGUGAUCUUCGUCAUCAUCGCCACCGCCACCGGAAGCUUCGAAGCUCGCAGAUCGUUAUCGCUCACACGCUUCCAGCUUGCUCCAACACUGUGAGAAGAGGAAGAGAGACGCUCAGAAGCUGUGCGUGUUCGUCAUCAUCGUCGCCGCCUCCGUCGUCGUCUUCGACAGGUAGCUCUUAAUCCG
rnacentral:lncRNA from 1 species